rnacentral:lncRNA from 1 species
UUCUGAGAAAGCUUUGCCUAAUUCAAGAUCAUAUAAUUUUAUCCUAUGUUUUCUCAGAAGUUUUAUAAUUUUGACUUACAUGUAGGUCUAUAAUCCAUUUCAAGUUAAUUUUUGUAUACGGUAUGAAGUAAUGAUCAAAGUUCAUUUGUUUUGAUGUAUGAAUGUCCAAUUGUUAUAGCAUCAUUUGUUGAAGAGCUAUCCUUUCUCCAUUGAAUUACCUUGGCACUUUUGUUGAAAAUAAAUUGACUCUAUAUUUGUGGUCUAUUUCUGGAUUCCCUUGUCUGUUCCUUUGGUCUAUAUGUCUAUUCUUACACCAGUAUUGCACUGUCUUGAUUCCUGUAGCUUUAGAAUAAAUCUUAAAAUCAAAUAGUAUGACUCUUCCAACUUUGUUAUUCUUUUUCAAAAUCAUCUUUAGGUCCUUUGCAUUUUUAUAUAAUUUGUUAAUUUUUACCCCCAAAAAAGGCUGUUGAGGUUUUGUUUAGGUUAUGUUGAAUCUAAGACUAAUUUGGGGAGAACUGACAUUUUAGCAAUGUUGACUCUUCCAAGCCAUGAGCAUAGUCUGUCUCUUUAUUUAUUCUACCAUAAUUUCUCUCAGUAUUUAAAAACAUUACUUCAAUGUAGAGGGCUUACAUUACUAAUUAUUUCACGUUUUAAAAAUUAUUAUAAAUUGUGUUUUUAACAUUUUAAAUUUCCAAUUGUUUCUUGCUAGUAAAUAGAAAAACUAUUUUUUAUAUUGACGUUUUCAUAUCUUGAAGCCUAACUAAAUUUACAUAUUUUAUUUUUCUAGCAUUGGCUAGAACCUUAGGGGGGAAGCAUUUGAUUUUUUACCAUUAAAAAUGAUGCUAACUGUAGGUUGUUUAUAAAUAAGAUUUAUCAGAUUGAGGAAGUUUCUUUCUAUUCCUAGUUUGCUGAAAUUUUUUUAUGAGGAAUGUAUGUUGAAUUUUAUAAACACUUUUUUUGCAUGUAUUGAGAUAAUUAUAUAAUUGUACUAUUU